rnacentral:rRNA from 1 species
CGACCGCGUGAGCGAAGAAGGCCUUCGGGUCGUAAAGCUCUGUUGUUAGGGAAGAACAAGUAUCGGAGUAACUGCCGGUACCUUGACGGUACCUAACCAGAAAGCCACGGCUAACUACGUGCCAGCAGCCGCGGUAAUACGUAGGUGGCAAGCGUUGUCCGGAAUUAUUGGGCGUAAAGCGCGCGCAGGCGGUCCUUUAAGCCUGAUGUGAAAGCCCACGGCUCAACCGUGGAGGGUCAUUGGAAACUGGGGGACUUGAGUGCAGAAGAGGAGAGUGGAAUUCCACGUGUAGCGGUGAAAUGCGUAGAGAUGUGGAGGAACACCAGUGGCGAAGGCGACUCUCUGGUCUGUAACUGACGCUGAGGCGCGAAAGCGUGGGGAGCAAACAGGAUUAGAUACCCUGGUAGUCCACGCCGUAAACGAUGAGUGCUAAGUGUUAGAGGGUUUCCGCCCUUUAGUGCUGCAGCUAACGCAUUAAGCACUCCGCCUGGGGAGUACGGCCGCAAGGCUG